rnacentral:rRNA from 1 species
AUGAACGCUGGCGGCGUGCCUAACACCUGCAAGUCGAACGGAGUCCAGCCUUUCAGACCUUCGGGUCAAAGAGGGGAAGACUGAGUGGCGGACGGGUGAGUAACACGUGGGCAACCUGGCUCAUAGAGGGGGAUAACAGAGAGAAAUUUCUGCUAAUACCGCAUAAGCACACACUGCCGCAUGGCAGAGGGUGAAAAGAGAAUCGCUAUGAGAUGGACCCGCGUCUGAUUAGCCAGUUGGCAGGGUAAGAGCCUACCAAAGCGACGAUCAGUAGCCGAUCUGAGAGGAUGAACGGCCACAUUGGGACUGAGACACGGCCCAAACUCCUACGGGAGGCAGCAGUGGGGGAUAUUGCACAAUGGGGGGAACCCUGAUGCAGCGACGCCGCGUGAGUGAAGAAGUAUUUCGGUAUGUAAAGCUCUAUCAGCAGGGAAGAUAAUGACAGUACCUGAAUAAGAAGCCCCGGCUAACUACGUG